GCAUGGUCUUAGCUUGCUAAGGCUGAUGGCGACCGGCGCACGGGUGAGUAACACGUAUCCAACCUGCCGUCUACUCUUGGCCAGCCUUCUGAAAGGAAGAUUAAUCCAGGAUGGCAUCAUGAGUUCACAUGUCCGCAUGAUUAAAGGUAUUUUCCGGUAGACGAUGGGGAUGCGUUCCAUUAGAUAGUAGGCGGGGUAACGGCCCACCUAGUCAACGAUGGAUAGGGGUUCUGAGAGGAAGGUCCCCCACAUCGGAACUGAGACACGGUCCAAACUCCUACGGGAGGCAGCAGUGAGGAAUAUUGGUCAAUGGGCGAUGGCCUGAACCAGCCAAGUAGCGUGAAGGAUGACUGCCCUAUGGGUUGUAAACUUCUUUUAUAAAGGAAUAAAGUCGGGUAUGCAUACCCGCUUGCAUGUACUUUAUGAAUAAGGAUCGGCUAACUCCGUGCCAGCAGCCGCGGUAAUACGGAGGAUCCGAGCGUUAUCCGGAUUUAUUGGGUUUAAAGGGAGCGUAGAUGGAUGUUUAAGUCAGUUGUGAAAGUUUGCGGCUCAACCGUAAAAUUGCAGUUGAUACUGGAUGUCUUGAGUGCAGUUGAGGCAGGCGGAAUUCGUGGUGUAGCGGUGAAAUGCUUAGAUAUCACGAAGAACUCCGAUUGCGAAGGCAGCCUGCUAAGCUGCAACUGACAUUGAGGCUCGAAAGUG
rnacentral:rRNA from 1 species